rnacentral:rRNA from 1 species
AGCAGCCGCGGUAAUUCCAGCUCCAAUAGCGUAUAUUAAAGUUGUUGCAGUUAAAAAGCUCGUAGUUGAAUUUCGGGACUAGUGCGCCGGUCGUGCCUUCGGUAUGUACUGGUGUUACUGGUUCCUACCUUCUGACGAACCGUCAUGUCAUUAAUUUGGUGUGGCGGGGAAUCAGGACUGUUACUUUGAAAAAAUUAGAGUGUUUAAAGCAGGCUCGCGCUUGAAUACAUUAGCAUGGAAUAAUGAAAUAGGACGUUCGAUCCUAUUUUGUUGGUUUCUAGGAUUGACGUAAUGAUUAAUAGGGAUAGUUGGGGGCAUUAGUAUUCAAUUGUCAGAGGUGAAAUUCUUGGAUUUAUUGAAGACUAACUACUGCGAAAGCAUUUGCCAAGGAUGUUUUCAUUAAUCAAGAACGAAAGUUAGGGGAUCGAAGACGAUCAGAUACCGUCGUAGUCUUAACCAUAAACUAUGCCGACUAGGGAUCGGAUGAUGUUAUUUUAAUGACUCAUUCGGCGCCUUACGG